ensembl:lncRNA
UUUUUUUAUGUUGGCAGGGUUCACACACACACUAGCUGAAUUUGCAGAGCUAGCGGGCAAACACGAACUAUUAAGCUAGCUAGUACCUAUUCCAUUUAUGUGGCGUCGUCAAAGAUGAAGAUGGAAUCUUUGCUAUUGUCAGUUCAUUCCAAGAUCAGCAUGCAGCUGUAGUGCUUCAAAGUCCCUGUGAUAAGGUUAGCAAUAAAUUGAACAGAACUACGCUCUCUUCUACCAUUGUCUUAAAUAUCUUUAAUGGUCUCGUUGCAAAGGCUAAAUUGUCGCUAUGGGACUUUGAAGCACAUGUGUGACGAUCUUGGAGUAAACUGAUGACAGCAAAGAUUAUAGCAAACACCACAGAAACGGAAUUGGUGCUCGCUAGCUUUGCAAAUUCAGCUAUUGUUGGAAGCCAGCCAAUAUGAAACAAACUAUUAAAAUGACAAAAGGUUGCAGCAUAUGUUGUGUAAAUGGUGAACUCAUACAGCUGUCAACUCUUGUCACUGCAAUCCGUUUCACAUUUGCUAGCUACCGUUUAGAUCGAAGCCCAUAUAGAAUGAUAGAAGAUAAGAUGAUAGAAGCCCAUCUCCUACUGUAAAUAACCGACACUCUGUGUGUGUGUGUGUGUGCAGCUAGCCAGCCUGCCAGGUAGAAAAAUGUAAAAAGACAGACAUCAGAGUAUUUUUCAGUACACCAAAACACAAAGCAAGAAUCCUAGUAGCCUAAGACUAGUUGAUAAAAUGUUCAUUAGAAAGAUAUGAAAUGCUAAUGGAAAUGUUUCACAAUGAUGUCAUUAGGCAGAUCAGCCAACAGAGGGCACACAGACAGCAGAGCUGGGGAUAGGUGGGCAGGGACAGACUGGCAGAGAGGGAGUCUCAGGAGACAGACUGUGAGGCAGUGAGGGUGGUGAAAGGGAGAGACUUCAGAGGACAGUGGCACAGCCACGGCAGGACCAGGUGUCAACCUUGUUGCCAGCAGCACCAGUAUAGGGGACAGUGGCACAGCCACGGCAGGACCAGGUGUCAACCUUGUUGCCAGCAGCACCUGUAUAGGGGACAGUGGCACAGCCACGGCAGGACCAGGUGUCAACCUUGUUGCCAGCGGCACCAGUAUAGGGGACAGUGGCACAGCCACGGCAGGACCAGGUGUCAACCUUGUUGCCAGCUGCCCCGGUAUAGGGGACAGUGGCACAGCAUUGUCCAGUUACCUCAGUUCAGUGAUGGCACAAAACCAUAUCAGCCACAUCCACAAUUUAUAGAACCGCAAUCUCUUGCCAACAGAGUGUUGACAUUUCAAGAGAGAUGGUUUUGCGAUUUCCCCUGGCUACAUUAUAAUCCAUCAAUAAAAUAUGUGUUUUCACUGUAGCCAACCAAGGGUUUUCAAGCCAGCCAUCUUUUGGCCAAAGAGCAGAUGCUGCCUUCAUUAGCGCAGGAUUUAGGAACUGGAGAAAAGCCAUUGUAAAGUUCACAGCACAUCAUAACUGCCAAACCCACCGCCACUGUGUAACUGUAACUGUAACAGCACACCAGCUAAAUCCAAUCCGUGUCCAGUUAUCCAGCGCGUGGGGUAAACAGCAGAAAUGAUGAAAGCUACCUUGCACUGUAUGAGAAAGCUACAACAUUGAUUGAAUCCAUUGAGGCACACUCAAGACGAUUUGCUGGCAAAGCAGUGGAUCACUAUAGGGCAGAAUUUUUUUAAGUGUUGGAUGGUGUGGAGGUUCAGUUUGGCGACCGUGUUGACCAGGACAUUCUAAAAGCAUUCUGCAAAAGUUGGAAAGAGUGCUUUUCACGGGGGAGUUGGAUGAGUCUCUAGAUCAGUACUCUGAGCUGAACAUAGAUUCUCUUUCAGUGCAGUUGCCUCUCUUUCACAACAAAUACCCCUGUAGCAGCAGUUGAGAGGCAGCAGAGGUCCUCAGGAGGCUUCCAGUGGAGGUGCGGUUGUUGGUUGACCAAGUUGAGGUGCUGAUCAGAAUUUAGUCUAAUGCACAUAAAGACAGGCUGGACAGUCUUGAGGGAAAAUAUCUGCCAGCAAUUUGUUGGAUCCAUUGAAACCCUCAAACAUAGGUUUGGUUCUUUUGUUCAAUAGUGUGUAUAACAGUGGUUCUCAACCUUUUUUGAGUACUGGAACCCCUGCAUAUUUUGAGGAAAGGCAGGCAAGGUUUUGAGUGGUCCUCAGGGACCUCCACCCCCUAUAUAUUAAAUGUAACGUUAGUGGAAUCCUUGUGCUGCUGAAUACAUUCAUUAAACUUUUUUAUUUAAUGGAACCCUUGCCAUUACACCAGGGACCCCUAGGGGUCCACCUACCCUGUUUGAGAACCCCUGGUGUAUAGUAUAAUAUUUGUUAUUUUGUUUAGUAGUUUUUAGUACAUGACAGGACACUUACUAAUUAUUUAUUUGAUUUACAAUUGCAUACUUUGUGUGACAUACUUGUCCAUAGCUGUUGUUUGAAGAGCUGAGACACUGACUGAACAAUAACUAAGUAUUUCUGAAGGAUAUUUUGGUUGAUUUGUUUGGGUUUUUCAUUGAAGUAGUUAUUUUGCUUUUAGAACUGUACUUAUUCUGUGUGUUUUGUUCUUUUAAAGAUGUUGUAAUAGACUCAAACCAGUGGCACAUAUUUAAUGACUAUAUAAAUGAAUCAGAAAAAGUUAAAUAAAAAGGUCAGUUCAGUGCAGAGACCAACUUUGUGAUGGUUCUCAAUGGAGAUUCUUUGAGAUGAGAUCGCACCAUAUUUAUUGUAUUUAUGAAACCUGCACCCAUACAGUGUACAGCACCAUUACCACCUACUGGCCUUGCUUGGUAUUGCUGGUUGUAAAUACAAAUACCUGCAUACAUACUGGACUGAUAAGGAACACUGCUAUAACUAUUAUUAUUAGUAGUACUAUAAUGAUUUGAACAAGUUGAGAAAACCCUUCAGUUAACUACUGUACCUAUCAAUUAUCCAGUUGUAGUAAUUAUGGUUCCUCAAUAUACGUUUAACAUAUUACAACGUAGGCUGUGUUCCAGCACUACUUUUGGUGUCCCCCUCAGGAAUUGCUCUUGAGAAAAUGUAAUGUAAUUGUCCCCUCCAUAGUUGAUAUCAGAUUUUCGCCCCAACUCAAAUAUA